AUUGAACGCUGGCGGCAUGCCUUACACAUGCAAGUCGAACGGCAGCACGGGGCAACCUGGUGGCGAGUGGCGAACGGGUGAGUAAUGCAUCGGAACGUACCUUUCAGUGGGGGAUAACGUAGCGAAAGUUACGCUAAUACCGCAUAUUCUGUGAGCAGGAAAGCAGGGGAUCGCAAGACCUUGCGCUGAUUGAGCGGCCGAUGUCAGAUUAGCUAGUUGGUGAGGUAAAGGCUCACCAAGGCGACGAUCUGUAGCGGGUCUGAGAGGAUGAUCGGCCACACUGGAACUGAGACACGGUCCAGACUCCUACGGGAGGCAGUAGUGGGGAAUUUUGGACAAUGGGUGCAACCCUGAUCCAGCCAUGCCGCGUGAGUGAAGAAGGCCUUCGGGUUGUAAAGCUCUUUCGGCCGGGAAGAAAUCGUAUCAGCUAAUACCUGGUGCGGAUGACGGUACCGGCAUAAGAAGCACCGGCUAACUACGUGCCAGCCGCCGCCGUAAGAC
rnacentral:rRNA from 1 species